rnacentral:ncRNA from 1 species
AGCACUGUAACAGGUGCUGGCAGAAGUAAAUCCGACGUGGCAGAUGUCACGGCCUGAAUGAAUCAGGCUCAGGGAUUAC